rfam:Neocallimastix californiae strain G1 LY90scaffold_150, whole genome shotgun sequence.
GGGGUGUUAGCUCAGUGGUAGAGCAAUUGACUGCAGAUCAAUAGGUCUUCGGUUCAAAUCCGGAACGCCCCU